UACGGGGGGGGCAAGCGUUGUUCGGAAUUACUGGGCGUAAAGGGCGCGUAGGCGGUUCGUUAAGUCCUGUGUGAAAUCCCCCGGCUCAACCGGGGAACUGCAUCCGAUACUGGCGGGCUUGAAUCCGGGAGAGGGAUGUGGAAUUCCAGGUGUAGCGGUGAAAUGCGUAGAUAUCUGGAGGAACACCGGUGGCGAAGGCGGCAUCCUGGACCGGUAUUGACGCUGAGGCGCGAAAGCUAGGGGAGCAAACGGG
rnacentral:rRNA from 1 species